GUGAGAGGCGGGUGAGGUGGGAGGGCCCGUAGCUUCCGUGGCUGAGAGGAGCCGGCGGUAGCCGUGUCUGUGGUGCCCUCGGCGGCGGCGUGAGCGACCGUCCCGUCCUCCCCACCCCCUCCGCUCCACUCGCCACACGCCCUCCGCUCGCACCGACUUCUCCCCAGCUCCGCGCGCCCUGGCUGGACGUUGAGUCUCGAGAGGAGACGCACGCGGCGAGAGCUGGAGCGGGGACCGCCGCGGAGCCCCGGCCGGCGGAGAGCUAGGCGAGAUUGAAGGGUAUGGUUGGCAUGGAUUGAAUUUCAUCUGUCUUUGGGACUUGUGAACAAGUUUGCCAUCACGAAAGCCAAAGUGGAUUUUUCCAGUGUAGUGUGCCUGCCCCCUUCCGUCAUUGCUGUGAAUGGGCUGGACGGAGGAGGGGCUGGCGAAAAUGAUGAUGAACCAGUUCUGGUGUCCUUGUCUGCGGCCCCCAGCCCCCA